rnacentral:lncRNA from 1 species
UGUAACUUGGAAUUCUAGCAAGAAAGCCACGCUCAUCUGGGGAGAGGAGGAAGUAGACCAUCUGCACAAGUUGAGGGCAGUGUCUGCUUCCCAGAAUUUCUGCUUCUGCCUCUGACAGGGAGCCAUGACUCCUUCCUUCCCCACACCUCUUAAGGGCAGCAGCAAAGGACUGAAAGAGGGAGCAGGGACCAGUAAAGCAGUAAGACAGUAGAGAUCCAUAAGGCAAAUGGUGGACCACUGGAGGGAAAGACCAUACCCCAGUUAUCUCCCAUGCCACGUGCCCUAGGGAAAAACACCAGUUGUUUGCUUUAGUUAUAGCUUUGUCACUAUACUAUUCCUCCCAGCCUCGGACAGCCUCUCCCCAUACACAUAGUCUGCCCAUUCUUGUUACAUGCUCCUCUCACCACCAGAUCUGGCUAAAUGAUGCUGAGUAGAUCAGAUUCCUAACCACUGACCAGCUCCAGUGCUGUGAGCCUCCCCAGAGCACCUUAGACACACUCUCUCUGUCUCUGUCUCUCUAUCACUAUUCUCUCUCCACCUAUCCCACCCAGGCCGAAAGCAUAGUGGCUACUCAUAGUCCAACCUCACUGCUGAUUGGCUCAGAAGCUUUAAUUUGCUUCAUUUCUGACCUUAGCUAAUUUACCUCCUCUUUAGGCAGCCUAGUAGCUCCUCCUCCCCUAUCCCCAUUGUCAGAAGUCCAUCAUAUUGAUGCCAGAUGGUGAAGAUACCUGAUUGGCUCAGUCUUCUGUGAUUCAGAAUGCCCCAACCCAAGUGAUCAACCAGCCUCCACCUCCCCAGACACAGGAACUACAGGCAUGGGUCUCUGUGAUUCACAGAACCAAGGACACUCUUACAUGCCUCUUCUACCUCCAGGCUGUACAGAGCCCUCAUUCUACUGGGUUCUAUUCUCUGCCUCCCAUUGAGAUCUCCAGGUCCCAAGACUAUGGUCUUCUAAUUGGUCACUAA